rnacentral:tRNA from 2 species
GGAAGAUUAACCCUAAAAGGUAAGGGAAGUGUUUGCUAAACACUCAGUAACCGAGAAAUCGGCGUACCAGUUCAAGUCUGGUAUCUUCCUCCA